UACGUAGGGGGCAAGCGUUGUCCGGAAUCAUUGGGCGUAAAGAGCGUGUAGGCGGCCCGGUAAGUCCGCUGUGAAAGUCCAGGGCUCAACCCUGGGAUGCCGGUGGAUACUGUCGGGCUCGAGUCCGGAAGAGGAGUGUGGAAUUCCUGGUGUAGCGGUGAAAUGCGCAGAUAUCAGGAGGAACACCAAUGGCGAAGGCAGCACUCUGGGACGGUACUGACGCUGAGGCGCGAAAGCGUGGGGAGCGAACAGG
rnacentral:rRNA from 1 species